rnacentral:tRNA from 1 species
GUACCCGUAGCUCAGUUGGAUAGAGCACAAGCCUCCGACGCUUGGUGUCGAUGGUUCAAAUCCAUUCGGGUACGCCA